rnacentral:rRNA from 1 species
GUUUCCGUAGGUGAACGUGCGGAAGGAUCAUUG